rnacentral:misc_RNA from 1 species
UCUCCGUUGGUGAACCAGCGGAGGGAUCAUUACCGAAUUUACAACUCCCAAACCCCUGUGAACAUACCAUUUGUUGCCUCGGCGGUGCCUGCUUCGGCAGCCCGCCAGAGGACCCAAACCCUUGAUUUUAUACAGUAUCUUCUGAGUAAAUGAUUAAAUAAAUCAAAACUUUCAACAACGGAUCUCUUGGUUCUG